rnacentral:rRNA from 1 species
UGGAGCAUGUGGUUUAAUUCGAAGCAACGCGAAGAACCUUACCAGGCCUUGACAUGCAGAGAACUUUCCAGAGAUGGAUUGGUGCCUUCGGGAACUCUGACACAGGUGCUGCAUGGCUGUCGUCAGCUCGUGUCGUGAGAUGUUGGGUUAAGUCCCGUAACGAGCGCAACCCUCGUCCUAUGUUGCCAGCGGGUCAUGCCGGGGACUCAUGGGAGACUGCCGGGGUCAAACUCGGAGGAAGGUGGGGAUGACGUCAAAUCAUCAUGCCCCUUAUGUCUUGGGCUUCACGCAUGCUACAAUGGCCGGUACAAAGGGCUGCGAUACCGCGAGGUGGAGCGAAUCCCAGAAAGCCGAUCGUAGUCCGGAUCGCAGUCUGCAACUCGACUGCGUGAAGUCGGAAUCGCUAGUAAUCGUGGAUCAGCAUGUCACGGUGAAUACGUUCCCGGGUCUU